CCUACGGGUGGCAGCAGUGAGGAAUAUUGGUCAAUGGGCGAGAGCCUGAACCAGCCAAGUCGCGUGAAGGAUGACGGCCCUACGGGUUGUAAACUUCUUUUGUCAGGGAGCAAUUGGGUCCACGCGUGGGCUUAUCGAGAGUACCUGAAGAAAAAGCAUCGGCUAACUCCGUGCCAGCAGCCGCGGUAAUUCGGAGGAUGCGAGCGUUAUCCGGAUUUUUUGGGUUUAAAGGGUGCGUAGGCGGAAUAUCAAGUCGGCGGUAAAAAUUCGGGGCUCAACCCCGUCGUGCGGCGCAAACUGGUGUUCUUGAGUGGGCGGGAGGCAUGCGGAAUUCGUGGUGUAGCGGUGAAAUACAUAGAUAUCACGCAGAACUCCGAUUGCGAAGGCAGCAUACCGGCGCCCAACUGACGCUGAAGCACGAAAGCGUGGGUAUCGAACAGGAUUAGAUACCCGAGUAGUC
rnacentral:rRNA from 1 species